GAUGAACGCUGGCGGCGUGCUUAACACAUGCAAGUCGAACGGUGAAGCUCCAGCUUGCUGGAGUGGAUCAGUGGCGAACGGGUGAGUAACACGUGAGCAACCUGCCCCUGACUCUGGGAUAACAGCCGGAAACGGCUGCUAAUACCGGAUAUGCACCAUGAACGCAUGUUCUGUGGUGGGGAAGAUUUUUCGGUUGGGGAUGGGCUCGCGGCCUAUCAGCUUGUUGGUGAGGUAGUUGCACACCACGGCGUCGACGGGUAGCCGGCCUGAGAGGGUGACCAGCCGCACUGGGACUGAGACACGGCCCAGACUCCUACGGGAGGCAGCAGUGGGGAAUAUUGCACAAUGGGCGAAAGCCUGAUGCAGCAACGCCGCGUGAGGGAUGACGGCCUUCGGGUUGUAAACCUCUUUUAGCAGGGAAGAAGCGAGAGUGACGGUACCUGCAGAAAAAGCACCGGCUAACUACGUG
rnacentral:rRNA from 1 species